UAACGGUCCUAAGGUAGCGAAAUUCCUUGUCGGGUAAGUUCCGACCUGCACGAAUCGUGUAACGACCGAACCGCUGUCUCGGAGAGGUUCUCGGCGAAACUGUAAUGGCGGUGAAGAUGCCGCCUGCCCGCAGAAGGACGGAAAGACCCUAUGCACCUUUACUAUAAGCUGGUAUUGGGUUCUGGUCUUUGAUGCGUAGCAUAGGUGGGAGACGUUGAAUUGGCGGUUUCGGUCGUCAAGGAGUCAUCAGUGAAAUACCACUCUUUAAUGAUUAGGAUUCUAACCCCAACCCUGUUAGCCAGGUGGGGGACAGUGCCUGCGGGUUAGUUUGACUGGGGCGGUUUCCUCCUAAAAAGUAACGGAGGAGCGCGAAGGUACUCUCAGCACGGUUGGCAACCGUGCGUCGAGCGUAUGGGUAUAAGAGUGCUUAACUGUGAGACCUACAAGUCGAGCAGAUGCGAAAGCAGGCCCAAGUGAUCCGAUGGUUGAAUGUGGAAUUGCCAUCGCUCAACGGACAAAAGGUACGCUAGGGAUAACAGGCUGAUCGCGCCCAAGAGUUCAUAUCGACGGCGCGGUUUGGCACCUCGAUGUCGGCUCAUCGCAUCCUGGGGCUGGAGAAGGUCCCAAGGGUCCGGCUGUUCGCCGGUUAAAGCGGUACGCGAGCUGGGUUCAGAACGUCGUGAGACAGUUCGGUCCUUAUCCACUGUGGGCGUAGGAAACUUGAGGGGUUCAUUCUCUAGUACGAGAGGACCGAGAAUGACGCACUUCUGGUGUGGCAGUUGUUCCGUCAGGGGCAGCGCUGCGUAGCCAAGUGCGGAAGAGAUAAGCGCUGAAAGCAUCUAAGUGCCAAGCUCCUCCCAAGAUAAGGUUUCCCGGACGCAAGUCCCUUAAGACCCCCGGAAGACUACCGGGUUGAUAGGUCAGGCGUGUAAGCGUGGCAACAUGUUUAGCGGACUGAUACUAAUCGGUCGUGAGGCUUGAUCGC
rnacentral:rRNA from 1 species